UACAAUAAAUAUAUUCCUUUCUAGUUUUAGAGGUCAGAAGUCACGAAUAGGUUGCACUGGACUAAAAUGAAGGUGUUGGUCAGGCUACCCUCAUACUGCAGGAUCAUGGGAAAAUGAAUCUCCUUCAUUUUCCAGUUUGGCUCAUAGCCACCUUCCAUCUUCAAAGCCAGCAAAGGCAGAUGACAGAGUCAUGUCUCAGUAUCAAAAGAUGGGACACAGAACUGGGAAGAGAUGCCUUUUCUGCAAAAGCAUGAAGACCUGAGCUUGUCUCCUCAGCACCAUGUCAAAAAGUGAGGACUACACACUCGUCAAGACCUAAGAGGAGAGAUGCUUGAAAAUGACCCCCCCCAACCCAGCUAAUGACUCAUCUCCUUAUUGUGAAGGAAGGAAAGACGUGCUUGGAGGAAGGAAAGACGUGUUGGCUGACAGCUGACUUCUCCUCCUAACCUGGUCUUGCUACAGAGCAGAUGGCUCACAUCCGUUGCUGCUUCUAGAAAGGGCUUGCCUGUGGCCUUGACCUCAGAGACCACUGAAGCUCAUCAGUGACACUCCCCACACCCCUUGCUGGGACUCGGCCACAGUCUGCUUCUCUUGUUCUCC
rnacentral:lncRNA from 1 species